rnacentral:misc_RNA from 1 species
CUGUACCGGUUGUCGGGUCCUUCUGUGACAGUGCUGAGCCCGCUGAAAAGCACCAGGCUCCUGUCAAGGCCUUUCCAGGAACGAGCUUGGCCGCCGUACCUGACGUAAUACUACCUGACCGAGUGUGGUCAGCAGAGUGCUUUGGGAACAUGCCCAACUGGAGUCGCUAAGAAGCUGCGCUCUGGGAGUUUACCGGUUAAGAGCUGUGUUGCAGCCCCUAAGGGAAUGUGUCUAAAAAAUGACCUUACCAUAGCGAAGAGCGAUAUGAUGCCUGAGCCCUGUGAGCCAGAGCAGAAGUGCCACCGACCGACAGAGAGAGAAUGCCUUGAGCCCGUGUCUCGACGCGUCUUCGAGCCUGUGAUCUCGACCGACUACCAAGGGGGAGGAAGUUCAGCUAUGCUAAACCCUGGAGCCGGAACUUUUUACAGAGGGGAGUGCCGCUUAACAAUGACCGAGCAGAGAGCCGUUUGGAAAUGAAUGUGCCGCCAUAGGGAGCCAAGUCGUCGAGAGACCGCCAGUCAGAGGAAGCCAAGAUCUAGAAAGACGCCAUAUCAAGUGAUUAUGUGCAAAGAGCCACCAGCAACGAGAGCCGCUAUAGAGAGAUAUUUUGAGUCAAAGACCCAUUGCGAGAGCCCGAGUGUCCGUGCGAGAGAGAGCCAUGUGUGUGUAUGAGCCUGAGAAGCCGAGUCCGAGAGUGCCCGUGGGAGCCCCAAUUAGUUACAGAACCGUACAAGUACAGAGGGAGAAAAAGAGCCCGAGUCCGAUACAGAAGACCAGAGCCGCCAAAAUUGAUAUAGCCAAGAGCCAGAGCCCGUUAGAUCAUUGAGAAUCGAGACGCUGCCCGUGCCGCUUUUAUACAGAGGAGUCGCGAAUCCGGAAAGCAAAGAGCCCGUUGCCCUGUCGGAAACACAGAAGAGAUAGUUGUAGGAUAGGAACUACUCAACUCGCAUUAGAUAGUAUUAGGAGGACGUACGCUGGUACUCAGCCGAACCUCCGGGGUUAAUACGAUUGGACCAUCGAGUCCCAUCCCCUAU